rnacentral:rRNA from 1 species
GCUUACGGCNAUACCAGCCUGAA